AAGAAGAGCAAUGGGAAAGAGAUGGCAGAGAAAUUCUAGGAGUGACAUGAAAUAUGGGGAAAGGAGUGACAGGUGAAGAUGGGGACAGAGAGAGGGAUGGGCAGUGAGUGAGUGCCUCUGGGCAGACAUUGGCUCAGUCAGGAGUUGAGAGGAGAGAGGACUGAAAGAUUUGUGGGGAAUGCAGUAGGAUAAUGGUGCAGUACUAGAUGAUAUAAAGUGUGGAGCAGAGAGGGGAAAUAGGGAAGACGGUGUGCGGCUGGAUUAGAGGAGGAGGGUGGAGGAGUCGGCAUAAGAGAAGGACAGAUUUGACUCAGAAAGCUCAAUGGAUUACAGAUUUGUGAGCUGGUGGUUUGUCACUACUUGCUGGCAGUUACAUUCUCUGUCUGCUUCUCUAUGCCAUUUCUCUCUCUCCAGCUCAACUUUAGGGCAGAGUAAGCUCUGUGGCUGAGUGUAGUCAGAGCAAACUGAGAGGGCAAAAGGGAGAGGCAGUAGAGCUGGUGAGGUGCUUGUAACUGGACCUGUUUCUCCUUGCUUUGGAAUGUGACUCUCUCAAUUCAAGAAGCUUCAAUGACUCAAUCACUGAUGGGAUACUUCUCUCCCUAAGAACAUCAGGUGGAAUUAAAUCUGACAAAGACUCUUUGAUUGAAAUGGGAGUGAAGCAAUGGGAGCGGAGCAUCCAAAUUCUCCAGCAUGUGGUCUCCUCUCCAGCUCCCAUCAACCCCCAGGAGAAGAUGAAGGGAGCUUUGAGUCUCUCAGGCGGAAGAACCUGAGCCCUAGGACCAUGCCUCAGGACUACCUGGCAUGGUGACUCCUUGCUGUCCCCAGACCACCUGGCCCUGCUGCUGCUCCAGUUUCAACUGUUCUGCCUGCGGCUAUGGAAUCCUGACCUGUUCACCGGACGUGCUACCUGUCCUAGACCUUUUAUUUGACAAUGCUGGUCAUUUAUGAACAUUUGAACAUCUUGGCCAUGUUCUGUUAUAAUCUCCACCCGGCACAGCCAGAAGAGGACUGGCCACCCAUCAUAGCCUGGUUCCUCUCUAGGUUUCUUCCUCGGUUUUGGCCUUUCUAUGGAGUUUUUCCUAGCCAACAUGCUUCAACACCUGCAUUGCUUGCUGUUUGAGGUUUUAGGCUGGGUAUCUGUACAGCACUUUGAGAUAUCAGCUGAUGUACGAAGGGCUAUAUAAAUACAUUUGAUUUGAUUUGAUAUCCUCUCUCCUCGCUCUCCUCACUCUCCUCUAUCCUCUCUUUCCCCUCUCCUCUUUCCUUUCUCUCCUCUCUUCUCUCUCCUCGCUCUCCUCUCUCUCCUCUCUCUUCUCUCUCCUCUCUCCUCUCUACCCACUCUCCUCUCCCUCUUCUUUCUCCUCUCUCCUCUCUCUCCUCACUGUGCUCUCUCCUCUCUCUCCUCACUGGGCUCUCUCCUCUCUCUCCUCGCUCUCCUCAUUCUCCUCACUCUCCUCUCUCUUCUCUCUCUCCUCUUUCUCCUUACUCUACACAUUCUACUCACUCUCCUCUCUCUCAUCUCUCUUCUCUCUCCUCUCUCCUCACUCUCCUCUCUCUCCUCUCUCUCAUUUCUCUCCUCUCUCUCCUCACUGUGCUC
ensembl:lncRNA